rnacentral:rRNA from 1 species
AUGAACGCUGGCGGCGUGUCUAAGGCAUGCAAGUCGAACGAAUCAUUUUUUGUCGCAAGAUGAGAAAUGGUGAGUGGCAAACGGGUGCGUAACACAUUGGUAAUCUGCCUCCCAGUCGGGCAUAACUCCGCGAAAGCGGUGCUAAUUCCACGAUGGUCUCUCCGACGUAACGUCGGAGAGUAAAGCGCAAAACGCGCUGGGAGAGGAGCCUAUGGCCUAUCAGCUAGUUGGUGAGGUAAUGGCCCACCAAGGCGAUGACGGGUAGGGGAUGUGAGAGCAUGAUCCCCCUCACUGGGACUGAGACACUGCCCAGACACCUACGGGUGGCUGCAGUCGAGAAUAUUCCCCAAUGGACGAAAGUCUGAGGGAGCGACGCCGCGUGCAGGAUGAAGGGCUUCGGCUCGUAAACUGCUUUUGCCGAGGAAGAACCAUGACGGUACUCGGAGAAUAAGAGGUUGCUAACUCUGU